rnacentral:tRNA from 2 species
GCCCCCGUAGCUCAGGGGAUAGAGCAUUGGUUUCCGGAACCAGGCGCACAGGUUCGAAUCCUGUCGGGGGUG